GGCAUCGAAAAAUUAAUGAAUAAGUUUUUCAGCGAUAAAGAGAGAAAUCUGUCAAGUACCAAAUUUAGAAAAGAUUGGCUUAACUUUGAGAAAAGCUGAAAAAAGUAUCUAGCAAUGAUCCAAAAUGGUAGACUAUCUGUGGUAGGAUUUAUUUUUAAAGAUGUCUGAAUCCUGGGGGUAAACAUAAUUUUUCCUUGACACCCAAAAGUUCAGAAGUAAUGAGUUGAAACAUGAAGUGCUUUAUAAAUGGCCACAUGGUGGCACUGUGCACACCUAAAUCUAGCAAACACUGUCCCUUUGCUUUCCACCAGAUUUAUUUGAAAUCUGUUUUUGAAUCUCCAGCUGACUGACAGCAAAGCAACAAAAGAAGCACAGGGGACUGAAACAUAGCGCAUGUAUCAACAGUGACACAGCCACAGAUGUACUCUGACAGAGAUGGAUGAAUACACCGUGCUCACAGACAAACAUGUAGAAGCUCUGGCUUUGAAAUAAACACUGACCUGGAACUUCGGUCCCAUUGAGUCCUGUUUUAUAAAGACAAUUUAAAAAACAUAAAAGUGGGAAGAGAACACAGCUGAGACAACAGUGAGACGACUAAAUAGAGAUUUAAGACGGCAAAGUUCCUUCCAUCAGAACACAUUUUCACUAAUAUCACUUCCAAAACAUUCCUAAAUAUAUUAGUACUGCUAUCACUCUGUAGCAUGAAUGACCAAAAUACCUGGUUUUGCUCCAAUGAUGGGGAUUCCUGUUCCACUCAGACCCUCUCCAUCACCACCUGUUCCCACUGGUCUCCCAGCUACACCAGUUCCUCCUGUUUUAUAGUAUUGAUAUAAUAGCAUUUUCACAUGUGUAUGCUAUUUUUUAGAAUGAUAUACAGAGCUAUAUCGAAGCUAUGAUGUUGGUGUUGUUAUGUCCUUCAUGUUCACAGGGGAGCUUCUAUGAUAACAAUCGGAUCAUUACACCUGACCUAAAUGUUAAUUGUCAUCUCCGCACAAAAUCUGUGCAUGAUUUCAAGAAGCUUACCUCUGGGUCCAGCUGUUGACCCUGCACCGCUGCCAGUGCCAUUCACCGAAACACCGGUGCCUGUCCCUGCUCCUGCUCCUCCCGUGCUGGUCCCUGCCCCUGCCCCAGUUCCUAGUGUUCCUCCAGUCCCAGGGCCGUAGCCACCUGCUGCUGGGCCACCGAAUCUUCCAUUUAGACCAGAUCCUGGAGCUCCGCCACCACCAGGGAGCCCUAAGGAAGCAAAAAGCACUGCCUGGUCCAAAGCCACUCGGUCCACCUCCCGUUCCAACACCAGAACCAGGUAUCACACCAGUCCCCAA